rnacentral:rRNA from 1 species
AUGGAUGGAAAGAACCUGGGAAGUGGGCAAGAAGCUCAACAAGCUAAGCCAGAUGUGUUAGGUGAUCAGGACGGUCUGAAACACACUGCUGAUUCCAGCACCACCAGAGAUGCGAUUCCGGUGAAUGGCCAUGAUGUUGUACUCCCUCCGUCCGAGGUUGUAGAUACAAACAUGGGAGCUGCCAUUUCAUGUGACAGGCUUCGAUGCCAAAGACGAUAUUGGCAGCCUCAUAACAACGGCGAUGGACUCCACUAA